CAUAGCUAUCAAAUUAAACCAAUAUUUUAUAUUUCGAGAAUAUUGUUUGUUCUAGAAUCGUAGAAGUAUAAACAGUGAGAAACACUUCUCGUUAACGUGGCCUUGAACGAUCCGGCAAACUAUGUAGAAUAAGCGCAGUAGCUAUUUUGCACUGCUGGAAGCAGUGCUGAUUCUCCUCUUUAAUCGAUUCUACGUCCACGCAAUGGAUUCUCGACUUGUUUAAAUAUGGAGAACAAGAAGAAAUUACAGGGGAGGGUUGGGACAAGAAAUAUGAUCGGGCGCUAUGAUAAACUCUUCCACAACCAUUGAACCAUGGAACCGGCAGUCGAUUCGUGGCGAAAGGAACAAACGAACGAGCGGGCGAUCCUCGGAACGAAGGGAAUAACGAACGCAACGCAGCGUGUGCAGCUGACUGAAACACGGAAGCGUCGAAUGAUUCAAGUCCAUCGUGUUACGGCCGAAUGAGAGGAAGAAGAAUCACGGAUAUACCAUGGCUUGAACAAGGGGCUCGCAUGCGAGCAAUGCAUGCAUCUCGACGAGAUCCGCCUGUGGUUUAUCGAGGUUCCACGUAGAGCAUUGUGGUCGCUGCAUAAUAUUAACAUUAGCGGUGAUUAGUGGGCUGCCGACCUCCUGAUGCUGGCCAAUAGCUCUAAACGUUACUCUCCUCUACACGCGACCUUUCCUCCAUUAACGAGCUUCCCAACCCGAGGUCGAUUCUGAUUUUAGGCCCUCCUCCUUUUUCUGUUGUUUCUCGACAAGGAUAUCGAUACCUUAUACGGUAAGUAGUAUUUAUCUCUCAUUUUCAUAAAAAUUUAUUCUCAUCAAAAGAUGAAAGACAAAAAUAAGUGAGGAUACUUUUAAUGAUUUUACAAGAUAUAAUUAGCAUUUGUUUAUUAUUAAAAUAGAAAUAUUUAUACAAAAUGAAGUAUUUUAAAUUGUUUUAUUAUUACAGUAAUAUUAAUCAACGUGAGGCGUAUGCUAUAACAUACAUUACAUUCAUGAAAACAUUGAAACAAUUAUCAAAAGUAACAAUCGCAUAAAUAAAAAUUCGAAAAUCCUAUUUAAUAACUAUUUCGACAAAUUUGGAAACUCAACUCACAUUUAAAAUCUCCAUCUUCUUAAUAAAUCUCUAAUCUUCUCCUUUCGCUUUUCAAAUGUGAAAACAAUUCCGCCGUCAGAACGAAGAUUUACAUCAUAUUGUAAAAGUGAUCGAGAUGCGAUAUCGCAAUCAGAUCGCACGCAUAUAAGAACGAUUAAUAUUCAUUAAUAUAAAAAUGCCAAUAAGUAUUAGCGAGUAUCGUGUCCGCGGAUAAGAGUCCACGUUUCUUAUGCUAAUUACAUUAUUGACAGCUACGUGGGAGAUUUACGAGCGCCUUUUAACGCGUCGUGCCGGACAGCUGGUGAGGCAGUUUGCCGUUUAUUUAUGCUCGAUUUCAGCGUCGAUCGUCCGAUAGGGUGGAAUUUAUACGCUUUCAGUAUAAACGCGCUUAAUGGUCUUGACUAGUUGGACCCGGGAAUAUAUUCGCGUACGAUCAACCGGCGGUGUGUCCGUCGUAAUUAAUUAAUUGACUCGUAAUUGUCGACGACCAUCAUCGUUGGCUUUUGAAUCGAGCGAUAGAAAGCUCUGCCUGAUCUUCUUGGAUAACGAUUCUAUCCGAGGGCUGAGCAUUCGGUUGAGGUUAUGUAAACGAAUAAUAUUUGAUUUAAGGGUAAAAUUAUGUGGAGUUUAUAAAAUAGAUUUACGAUAUCACGAAAUCAUAAUGUUUGAACUUUGACUUCGAUAUUAUUUAUUAUAUUAUACUUUUUCAUUUGGAAUUUUUUUAAAUUGCAAUAUUAAAAAAAAAAAAUUAAAAAAAACAUCUAAAAAAUUGGUUUUUUUGCUGAUGAAAAGAGCAGAGAUAGAAGAAUCUGAAUGCUUUUUUUAAAAGGAAAAUUUUUUUACGAAAAAUAUUGAAUUUUAUUUUUAUAAAAGAAAGAAAGGUAACUAUAUUUGAAUAACAAGGCUUUAAAGUUUAUUAUUGAGUUUUGCAUGAUAAAUCCAGACAGACAGGUUUUAUAGUAAGUCCUAAUUUCAGUCAUCGGUGGUUCGAAAUAAAUCUUUUAUCCCGACAUCAAAUAUUUCUUGAUACAGGUGUGCUACAUAGACAGUUUUACUAACGAGUUUAACGCACAGGACAAGUCACGCAACUGGAACAAGUUAUGUCUCUUCCUUGUGCUUUAUAAAGAAAACAAAAAAAAAAAAAAAAAAAAAGAUA